AAAUCAGUUUCUUGUAAAAAAAAAUAUAUAUAUUAAUAAGAAGUAUAAAGUCAUGAUAAGACGUCGAGGAAAGAAGGAGUACCUUUAACCGUUCCACCUUUUUCUUACUCUUCUUCUUCUUCUUCUUAAUUCACCAAGAAUUAAGCAACAAGAUUUUUUAUCCAAAGUAUUAGUAGUUCUGUGUCUUCGAACAAUGUAUGUACCGUCUCUCUCACCCUUCAUCAUUCAGUAUUGAAGCCAUAAUACAAGUGUAUUAAUAGUAGAGCUGUACAGAAUACAUGGAUUGAGGUAAGAAGAAACUAUUUAAUGUUAUAUAUCUAAUGGUCCACGCUGUUUGCAAUAAGUGGGAAAUAAUGGACGUUUCAUCCUACUCAAUCAUGGGUCAUAAAUUUAUAUGUAGUUCAGGAGUGCAUUGUAGUUGCAUUGUAUAUUUUAUCCUACCUCUUGUGGUAUAUUUAGAAAAACCAUAGUCUUAUGUGCAAUGCUUCCGCACUGCAAGUCCUUGGCUCCAUAAACUGCAUCACUACCUUCGAUUUCUGUCCGGACAGAACAUACUUUUUUAUAUUAUGAAUACUAGAUUGCGAGUUUUGUUGAGAUGAAUGGCCAAAUGGCCGCAAUUUCGAUCUGUUUCAUACCUUUAGAUCGAGUUGAUUCAUAGUCUACGUGAAUAUUUUUUCCCAACGCAAGAUGUCGCUUUUUAUAAUACCAUGAUUCAUGAAUGAUUAAAAAGUAACCUUUUCCCCCUUUCCAAAAUUCACCUAGAUAAUUAAAAAGGGGGAUCCCUGGAGAUUACAUAGUUAGUUAUAAGUAAAGGACUCUAGGCAAAGAGUAGACUCUCAAGGCAGGGAAGGUAGGAUUUAGAAGUUCUCAAUUCUGAUUGAGUUAUAAUUAGAAACUGCUACAUGUUCCUCCAGCUAGGCACACAGGCGAGGGGGGUGAGUGAAGGAGUGAGCCCUCCCCCUGAAAAGAGAAGAAUUAGGGCCAAUUACGUUAGGAACAUAGUGUUCCUUGUCCUUCGAUUGAAUUGCUCAUUUUUCCCUUGAGCGCUCAUUCCCUCGAGUCCUUUAAUUAUAAGUUAAUAUUCAAAUAUACUCAACGCUCCGUAGUGGACAAAUUAGUAAUUGGGUAAACAAGUAUAUUUGGAUAAAUAUUGAUGACGUUGUCCUCGUUUUGCCAUUUGCUUUAUUUUUUCUGUUUGAUGUACACAACUGACCACUCGGAUGCAUUCUAUCCAAUUAAUUUGCAAAAGCUUGCAGGAUCUCAAAUUAUUCAGUCACUGUUGAAUAAGUAUAAGAAUUAUCGGUACUACUGAAAUGAGGGGAAACAACUUCUUCAAAUAAGUUAAUUCCCCAUUUUUUUAGGACUUUUUUUUAACAUACCUAGUAGAACUUUGAUACUUUGCAUUAAUCGUUAAAUUUUUAUUGAAACACUAGUGUCGCACAUCAGCUGACAAGACGUUCACGGACGUUAACAGUUCUUAUUUCAUUGGUUAUUGAGAACAAGUUAUAAAAAAAAGCCCCACCAAACUGUAAAAAUGUCAUAACAUUUAUAGUUACGAGUGUUUUGUCAAUGAUGAUAACUACUAUCAAGAUGUGCACAUUUUUCCCAAUUUGGUGUUGCUUUCAUUUGUAACGUGAGUGAAAACACUCUUAUUGAUAUAUCACAUCAUUACCUGCUUUAUUGUAUUUAUCAACUUUUCUUCGAGAAAGAAAUAGAAAAAAGGCCCAAAAUCAAUUCUUAACAUCUAGUCACUAUCAAAGUUAAUAGAAAUAGAAGGAUAUACCAUUACGCGUUUACGACUGAUGUUUGACUUCCGCCACGCUUUUAAUAUUGACGUCAUGAUAAAUGAGUGGUUGUGUGUUUUGUCAAAAUCUGCCUGUCUUGCCCAGCAGUCGAUGCAAUACAUCAGAUUGAAAAUUCUAACAAGGACGAUUACAUGAUGGUCUAACCUUGUAUUUCUAUUAACCUUGAGUAUUAUGAAGUUAUUAUUCAAUAACUUUUUGAAAUGUUUCACAGCCUGACACUACUGAUAAGGGGGAAGGAAGCAGACCAUUGACAGCUGACAAUAAAAUACAUUGUAUAUUUGUUUAUUAGUGAGGUAGUACUUUGAUACAGAACCAUAGAGAAAGAUAGAAAGACUAGGUGAGAUAAAGGGAUCAGUAAAACGUUUUUCACAGUCAUUUGUCAACAUAUAUAUUCUAUCAGCUCCUAUUUAUAUAACGCAUCAAAGUACUAAGUACCAACUGUUCUUUUUUCGUUAUUAUCUUAAGGCAACUCAACUAUGUAGUUCUCAACAUUCUCGCAACCCUAAUAUUAUAUCUUAUUCCUUUAUAUAUUACAUACUUUGUUUAUUUGAAAUACAUGAAUUUGAAGUCA
rnacentral:lncRNA from 1 species